GCCUUGCAUCAGGAAAGGAUCGGCCGAAAGCGGUCGGUUCUGCCAACCGGGUCUAGGAGUGAUCACGGUGGUUUCGAGUGACGCAAGUCACCCGGAUGUGAGAGGGGUCAAACCCUCUAACAAAAAACUCCUCC
rnacentral:ncRNA from 15 species